UUUCGCCUAAUCUUAAGCUUCACCUGGAGGAGGGCUCGGGACCCGGACUCUCGGAAUCCCAAUUCGGGUUUCGAGCGCGCCGGUCGACCAUCGACGCCCUCAAACGCC